GAUGAACGCUAGCUACAGGCUUAACACAUGCAAGUCGAGGGGCAGCAUGACGAUAGCUUGCUAUUGUUGAUGGCGACCGGCGCACGGGUGAGUAACGCGUAUCCAACCUGCCCUUGUCCACCGGAUAACCCGUCGAAAGGCGGACUAACACGGUAUGCAGUCCACAGCAGACAUCUAACGUGGACGAAAUGUGAAGGAGAAGGAUGGGGAUGCGUCUGAGUAGCUUGUUGGCGGGGUAACGGCCCACCAAGGCGACGAUCAGUAGGGGUUCUGAGAGGAAGGUCGCCAACAGUGGAACGGGAACACGGUCCAAACUCCUAAGGGAGGAAGCAGUGAGGAAUAUUGGUCAAUGGGCGAGAGCCUGAACCGGCCAAGUAGCGUGCAGGAAGACGGCCCUAUGGGUUGUAAACUGCUUUUAUACGGGGAUAAAGUGAGUCACGUGUGGCUUAUUGCAGGUACCGUAUGAAUAAGGACCGGCUAAUUCCGUGCCAGCCGCCGCGGUAA
rnacentral:rRNA from 1 species